CUGACUGCCAGCAAGGAAUGGUUCUUUCUGGAAAUUCCUCCCUUUGGAGUGUUUUUGCAAGCCUAGGAGAUAGAUAUAUCAUGAACCAUCUCCUCCAACAACUGGAGCAAUACAUUGCAUUAUUCAACUCUCCAUCACAGAAAUCUCUAAUCCUGUUGUUGCAGAAGUAGGAUUGAUGUUUGAAGUUGUGGUGCUCAGAACUUCCCCAGGAUAUGUAAAUACCAACUAAUGACACCUGGAGGAUUGGAGAGACAUGUGUACCUGUAUAAAUACAUCUCAGAUCGUUAAGCUUCACUGGAAAGCAGAACUCAAGGAAGAAAACAGAUUUCUCCACUAUCAACUGCAAGAGAUACGGCUCCAAGAAGCAGCUCCAAAACUCAAAAAUACACAUGAAGGGACAAGAGUGGUGCAUAUGCUUACUGGAAAGCUGGGGGUCAGUGCCAUAGGGGUUACAAGGUACAGUUCUCUUACCUGAUUU